rnacentral:rRNA from 1 species
UCGGCGCACAGCUCAGUAGCACGUGGCUAACCUGCCCUUGGGACGGAAGAACCCCCGGGAAACUGGGGCUAAUUUCCGAUAGGUGAUGAUACCUGGAAUGGUUUUUUGCUCAAAGGACGCUUAGGGCAUGCUUCUAGGCGUUGCCCAAGGAUGGGGCCGCGGCCGAUCAGGUUGUUGGUGAGGUAACGGCUCACCAAGCCUUUAACCGGUGCGGGCCGUGGGAGCGGAAGCCCGGAGAUGGGCACUGAGACAAGGGCCCAGGCCCUACGGGGCGCAGCAGUCGCGAAAAUUUCGCAAUAAGCGAAAGCUUGACGGAGCUAUCCCGAGUGCCAUCCGCUGAGGAUGGCUUUUCCCUAGUAUAGAUAGCUGGGGGAAUAAGGAGAGGGCAAGUCUGGUGUCAGCCGCCGCGGUAAUACCAGCUCUCCGAGUGGUGGGGAUGAUUAUUGGGCCUAAAGCAUCCGUAGCCGGCUGGGCAAGUCCCCUGUUAAACCCAACGAUUUAAUCGUUGGUCUGCGGGGGAUACUGCUUGGCUAGGGGGCGAGAGAGGCCGUCGGUAUUCCCGGGGUAGGGGUGAAAUCCUAUAAUCCCGGGAGGACCACCAGUGGCGAAGGCUGUCGGCUAGAACGCGCCCGACGGUGAGGGAUGAAAGCUGGGGGAGCGAACCGGAUUAGAUACCCGGGUAGUCCCAGCUGUAAACGAUGCAGGCUAGGUGUUAGGGCGGCCACGUGCCGCUCUAGUGCCGCAGGGAAGCUGUUAAGCCUGCCGCCUGGGGAAUACGUCUGCAAGGCUGAAC